GUCUCAGGCCCAGCCCUGCCAAUAAAUACAUAUGCAUGUGGCCUGGGUGCAGCCUCAGCCUCAAUGUCCCACAGGAGGAACUGGAAUGUUUAAAGAGGAAAUUAUCCCUGCCUGGUUCACCUCCUAGGACUUCUGGGAAGUUCAAACCAGAUGAGGCUGCAGGAGGAUUAUCACAACCCAGGACUUGGCUGACUUCCUGGACUUGAGGCUGGCUUCAAAGGACAUAUAUAUGGAUAAUACACAUACAAAAAGAAGCUCCGUCUCGUUGGUAUUCAGGAACAUCCAUGCUUGUGAGUGUGAGGUAGCAUCUUACUGUGGUUUCAUUCUGCAUCUCCCUGAAGACUACUGAGGAUUUGUAUCCAAUAGCGUUGGUCUCCCUGAACCUGGAUCCCCAGGUUCUCAGAAGAGUCAGGGACCGCAAGCUGCCUUCACCAGCCCAGAUCUCUGCUGAGCACUUGUUCUACCCGGGAUGAGUUCCUGAAGAUAAACCUUUUGUGCAUUGUGUUAUUUUGUGUGCACAACUCAGCUAAGUGGCCUCCAGCACUACUCAUCAUCCCGCCGCCUGGCUACCAAGAGGCCCAAUCAGUAUCUGUGGAACGAGUGGAUAAAGAAUGAUUUAGGGUCCAAUCCAUUUCCCAAUCCAGUAAGCCAUCUUUCAUUUCCACCAUCUUGGGCCAAAGGAAAAAAAAAUGGGAACAUCUUUCUUUCUUUCUUUUUUUUGUGACAGAGUCUCACUCUGUUGCCCAGGCUGGAGUGCAGUGGGAUGAUCUCAGCUCACUGCAACCUCUGCAUCCCAGGUUCAAGCGAUUCUCGUGCCUCAGCCUCUUGAGUAGCUGAGAUCACAGAUGUACACCACCAUGCCUGGCUACUUUUUGUAUUUUUAGUAGAGACGGGGUUUCACCAUGUUGGUCAGGCUGGUCUCAAACUCCUGGACUCAAGUGAUCUGUCCUCCUUGGUCUCUCAAAGUUCUGAGAUUACAGGCGUGAGCCACCGUGCCUAGCCAGGAACUUCUUUUUAUGCUUUACCAGAAACUCAUCUUGAUGUUUUCUUGUUCUUGAUGAUUUUGCUAAAGUCCAGACGUUCCUUGAUCAUCGAACACUUCUGUGUCAGCUAAGUUGUUUGAAGCAGUAAAUCCCAGCUCUACAUUCCCUUCAUAAUAUGUGUCCAACUGAAAAAGAAUGUUAAAGAAGACAAUAAAAUGCUUAAUGGUAGAGUUCUGAAAUAAUCAGAAUUAAUCAAUCAAUCAUUUAUUUAUUCAAAUGACCGACACUUAUUAUUAUGUAUCUCU
rnacentral:lncRNA from 10 species